rnacentral:pre_miRNA from 1 species
AAAGUACUCCCUCCGUCCAAAAAUUCUUGUCUUAGAUUUGUCUAGAUAUGGAUGUAUCAAGUCACAUUUUAGUAUUUGAUACAUCCGUAUCUAGAAAAAUCUAAGACAAGAAAUUUGGGACAGAGGGAGUAGUUG